CCCCUAGAUGUUCUGGGCCGCACGCGCGCUACACUGAACAGUUCAACAAGUCUUAACCUUGGCCGAUAGGUCUGGGUAAUCUUUGAACGCUGUUCGUGAUUGGGAUAGACCUUUGCAAUUAUGGGUCUUCAACGAGGAAUUCCUAGUAAACGCAAGUCAUCAGCUUGCAUUGAUUACGUCCCUGCCCUUUGUACACACCGCCCGUCGCACCUACCGAUUGAAUGGUCCGGUGAAAUCUCGGGACUGCGGCUUGGUCGCUUGCGUCCGACUGCUGAAACUUGAUUAAACCGUAUCAUUUAGAGGAAGGUGAAGUCGUANCA
rnacentral:rRNA from 1 species